rnacentral:tRNA from 1 species
GCGCCCAUAGCUCAGCUGGAUAGAGCACCGGUUUCCUAAACCGGGGGUCCCGUGUUCGAACCUCGGUGGGCGCG